GCAAGUCGAACGAGAACGGAUUAAAGCUUGCUAAGAUUGUCAGCUAAGUGGCGCACGGGUGAGUAAUAUAUAGUUAACCUGCCCUAGAGAGAGGGAUAACGUUUGGAAACGGACGCUAAUACCCUAUAUGCCUUUAAGACUUAAGUCUGCAAGGGAAAUAUUUAUAGCUUGAAGAUCGGCCUGUACAGUAUCAGUUAGUUGGUGAGGUAAUGGCUCACCAAGACAAUGACGCUUAACUGGUUUGAGAGGAUGAUC
rnacentral:rRNA from 1 species